rnacentral:rRNA from 1 species
AGGAGGCAGCAGUAGGGAAUAUUGGACAAUGGGCGAAAGCCUGAUCCAGCAAUGCCGCGUGAGUGAUGAAGGCCUUAGGGUUGUAAAGCUCUUUUACCCGGGAUGAUAAUGACAGUACCGGGAGAAUAAGCCCCGGCUAACUCCGUGCCAGCAGCCGCGGUAAUACGGAGGGGGCUAGCGUUGUUCGGAAUUACUGGGCGUAAAGCGCGCGUAGGCGGCUUUGUAAGUUAGAGGUGAAAGCCCGGAGCUCAACUCCGGAACUGCCUUUAAGACUGCAUCGCUAGAAUUGUGGAGAGGUGAGUGGAAUUCCGAGUGUAGAGGUGAAAUUCGUAGAUAUUCGGAAGAACACCAGUGGCGAAGGCGACUCACUGGACACAUAUUGACGCUGAGGUGCGAAAGCGUGGGGAGCAAACAGGAUUAGAAACCCCGGUAGUCCC